AUGAGUGAUGCCAGACCACCUGAUAAAGAGGAAUUUUUUGACCACAUCCUUGUCAGUGUAGGAGUGUCAGCUACUCUUCAUGCAUUCAAUUUCAUUUCUAUGGAUGCUAUGGGCACCUACUACAAGGACUGCCGGAUUUGUAGGCCCCUCUUAUGGAGCUUGAAAAGAUGCAAGCAAUGCUUCCAGCUGCAGGAAUUAGAGGGUGAACGUCCUACUUCUGAUUUUCAAUUUUUUUUACAAAUAUUGUACACAAACCUUGCAUAAGGACUCUGUAUUACUGAAGAACUAUAAAGUAAUACCUGGACAUCAUUAUCUCAGGCAUGGUGGGAAGUUUGUCUUUUUCCCUUCUCGCUGCCACCCUGUUACAUUUUUUUUUCCUUGCAGUGUACUCAGUACCAUAGGGGUGAGGAGUAGAAGCCCUCUAAUUGUAUUGUCA
rnacentral:lncRNA from 1 species